rnacentral:rRNA from 1 species
UACAGAGGGGGCAAGCGUUGUUCGGAAUUACUGGGCGUAAAGGGCGCGUAGGCGGCCUUCUAAGUCGAACGUGAAAUCCCCGGGCUCAACCCGGGAACUGCGUCCGAUACUGGGGGGCUUGAAUCCGGGAGAGGGAUGUGGAAUUCCAGGUGUAGCGGUGAAAUGCGUAGAUAUCUGGAGGAACACCGGUGGCGAAGGCGGCAUCCUGGACCGGUAUUGACGCUGAGGCGCGAAAGCUAGGGGAGCAAACGGGG